UUAAGCGACUAAGCGUACACGGUGGAUGCCCUGGCAGUCAGAGGCGAUGAAGGACGUGCUAAUCUGCGAAAAGCGUCGGUAAGGUGAUAUGAACCGUUAUAACCGGCGAUGUCCGAAUGGGGAAACCCAGUGCAAUUCGUUGCACUAUCGUUAACUGAAUACAUAGGUUAACGAGGCGAACCGGGGGAACUGAAACAUCUAAGUACCCCGAGGAAAAGAAAUCAACCGAGAUUCCCCCAGUAGCGGCGAGCGAACGGGGAGCAGCCCAGAGUCUGAAUCAGCUUGUGUGUUAGUGGAACGGUCUGGAAAGUCCGACGGUACAGGGUGAUAGUCCCGUACACCAAAAUGCACAGGCUGUGAACUCGAAGAGUAGGGCGGGACACGUGGUAUCCUGUCUGAAUAUGGGGGGACCAUCCUCCAAGGCUAAAUACUCCUGACUGACCGAUAGUGAACCAGUACCGUGAGGGAAAGGCGAAAAGAACCCCGGCGAGGGGAGUGAAAAAGAACCUGAAACCGUGUACGUACAAGCAGUGGGAGCACCUUCGGGUGUGACUGCGUACCUUUUGUAUAAUGGGUCAGCGACUUAUAUUCUGUAGCAAGGUUAACCGUAUAGGGGAGCCGAAGGGAAACCGAGUCUUAACUGGGCGUUAAGUUGCAGGGUAUAGACCCGAAACCCGGUGAUCUAGCCAUGGGCAGGUUGAAGGUUGGGUAACACUAACUGGAGGACCGAACCGACUAAUGUUGAAAAAUUAGCGGAUGACUUGUGGCUGGGGGUGAAAGGCCAAUCAAACCGGGAGAUAGCUGGUUCUCCCCGAAAGCUAUUUAGGUAGCGCCUCGUGAACUCAUCUUCGGGGGUAGAGCACUGUUUCGGCUAGGGGGCCAUCCCGGCUUACCAACCCGAUGCAAACUACGAAUACCGAAGAAUGUUAUCACGGGAGACACACGGCGGGUGCUAACGUCCGUCGUGAAGAGGGAAACAACCCAGACCGCCAGCUAAGGUCCCAAAGUCAUGGUUAAGUGGGAAACGAUGUGGGAAGGCACAGACAGCCAGGAUGUUGGCUUAGAAGCAGCCAUCAUUUAAAGAAAGCGUAAUAGCUCACUGGUCGAGUCGGCCUGCGCGGAAGAUGUAACGGGGCUAAACCAUGCACCGAAGCUGCGGCAGCGACACUAUGUGUUGUUGGGUAGGGGAGCGUUCUGUAAGCCUGCGAAGGUGGCCUGUGAGGGUUGCUGGAGGUAUCAGAAGUGCGAAUGCUGACAUAAGUAACGAUAAAGCGGGUGAAAAGCCCGCUCGCCGGAAGACCAAGGGUUCCUGUCCAACGUUAAUCGGGGCAGGGUGAGUCGACCCCUAAGGCGAGGCCGAAAGGCGUAGUCGAUGGGAAACAGGUUAAUAUUCCUGUACUUGGUGUUACUGCGAAGGGGGGACGGAGAAGGCUAUGUUAGCCGGGCGACGGUUGUCCCGGUUUAAGCAUGUAGGCGGAGGUUCCAGGUAAAUCCGGUUCCUUGUUAACGCUGAGGUGUGAUGACGAGGCACUACGGUGCUGAAGUAACAAAUGCCCUGCUUCCAGGAAAAGCCUCUAAGCAUCAGGUAACAUCAAAUCGUACCCCAAACCGACACAGGUGGUCAGGUAGAGAAUACCAAGGCGCUUGAGAGAACUCGGGUGAAGGAACUAGGCAAAAUGGUGCCGUAACUUCGGGAGAAGGCACGCUGGUGUGUAGGUGAAGUCCCUGCGGAUGGAGCUGAGACCAGUCGAAGAUACCAGCUGGCUGCAACUGUUUAUUAAAAACACAGCACUGUGCAAACACGAAAGUGGACGUAUACGGUGUGACGCCUGCCCGGUGCCGGAAGGUUAAUUGAUGGGGUUAGCGGUAACGCGAAGCUCUUGAUCGAAGCCCCGGUAAACGGCGGCCGUAACUAUAACGGUCCUAAGGUAGCGAAAUUCCUUGUCGGGUAAGUUCCGACCUGCACGAAUGGCGUAAUGAUGGCCAGGCUGUCUCCACCCGAGACUCAGUGAAAUUGAACUCGCUGUGAAGAUGCAGUGUACCCGCGGCAAGACGGAAAGACCCCGUGAACCUUUACUAUAGCUUGACACUGAACACUGGUCCUUGAUGUGUAGGAUAGGUGGGAGGCUUUGAAGCGUGGACGCCAGUCUGCGUGGAGCCGACCUUGAAAUACCACCCUUUAAUGGCUGGUGUUCUAACGUAGACCCGUAAUCCGGGUUGCGGACAGUGUCUGGUGGGUAGUUUGACUGGGGCGGUCUCCUCCCAAAGAGUAACGGAGGAGCACGAAGGUUAGCUAAUCCUGGUCGGACAUCAGGAGGUUAGUGCAAUGGCAUAAGCUAGCUUGACUGCGAGCGUGACGGCGCGAGCAGGUGCGAAAGCAGGUCAUAGUGAUCCGGUGGUUCUGAAUGGAAGGGCCAUCGCUCAACGGAUAAAAGGUACUCCGGGGAUAACAGGCUGAUACCGCCCAAGAGUUCAUAUCGACGGCGGUGUUUGGCACCUCGAUGUCGGCUCAUCACAUCCUGGGGCUGAAGUAGGUCCCAAGGGUAUGGCUGUUCGCCAUUUAAAGUGGUACGCGAGCUGGGUUUAGAACGUCGUGAGACAGUUCGGUCCCUAUCUGCCGUGGGCGCUGGAGAAUUGAGGGGGGCUGCUCCUAGUACGAGAGGACCGGAGUGGACGCAUCACUGGUGUUCGGGUUGUCAUGCCAAUGGCACUGCCCGGUAGCUAAAUGCGGAAGAGAUAAGUGCUGAAAGCAUCUAAGCACGAAACUUGCCCCGAGAUGAGUUCUCCCUGAGACUUUAAGUCUCCUGAAGGAACGUUGAAGACGACGACGUUGAUAGGCCGGGUGUGUAAGCGCAGCGAUGCGUUGAGCUAACCGGUACUAAUGAACCGUGAGGCUUAACCUU
rnacentral:rRNA from 1 species